UGUAACGCCCAGCCAGCGGCCAGGGGAGAACGGUGGUGGCAAGGUUGUUCCUGGUGUAUUAUGGUUAAAGGGUCCGUAGUCGGACGUAUAAGGCAGUUGUGAAAGCCUGUCGCUUAGCGCUAGAACUGCCAUUUAUACUGUAAGUCUUGAGGAUAACUGAUGGAUCAGGAAUAAGUAUCGUCGCCGUGAAAUGCAUAGAUAUUACUUAGAACACCAAGUGCGAAGCCAGGUUACCAAACUAUAACUGACGCUGAGGGACGAAAGCGUGUGGAGCGAACAGGAUUAGAUAUCCUGGCAGUC
rnacentral:rRNA from 1 species